GAUGAACGCUAGCGGCAGGCCUAACACAUGCAAGUCGAACGGUAACAGAAGAGCUUGCUCUUGCUGACGAGUGGCGCACGGGUGCGUAACGCGUAUGCAACCUACCCUGAUCAGGGGGAUAGCCCAGAGAAAUUUGGAUUAAUACCCCAUAAUAUAAAGAUAUGGCAUCAUAUUAUUAUUAAAACUCCGGUGGAUCAGGAUGGGCAUGCGUCCUAUUAGCUAGUUGGUGUGGUAACGGCACACCAAGGCAACGAUAGGUAGGGGUUCUGAGAGGAUGAUCCCCCACACUGGUACUGAGACACGGACCAG
rnacentral:rRNA from 1 species